GACCACAAUUUUAUCACCUCUCUGUGGUCGCGGCUG
rnacentral:ncRNA from 1 species